GCAGCAGCCGCGGUAAUACGGAGGGUGCAAGCGUUAAUCGGAAUUACUGGGCGUAAAGCGCACGCAGGCGGUCUGACAAGUCAGAUGUGAAAUCCCCGGGCUUAACCUGGGAACUGCAUUUGAAACUGUCAGGCUGGAGUCUUGUAGAGGGGGGUAGAAUUCCAGGUGUAGCGGUGAAAUGCGUAGAGAUCUGGAGGAAUACCGGUGGCGAAGGCGGCCCCCUGGACAAAGACUGACGCUCAGGUGCGAAAGCGUGGGGAGCAAACAGGAUUAGAUACCCCUGUAGUCCCUGUCUCUUAUAC
rnacentral:rRNA from 1 species